UUUGCCUCUCGCUCGCUCGCUGUUUCAAAUCGCGAGGAAGAGAGAGAGAGAGAGAGAGAGGAGCAAAUCCCUAGAAAUUAUCCCCAAAUACAAGAAGUGAUUCAAAAUCAUAACCUAGAUCUUUCGGUCACAUAUUUCACCAUGGAGAAGGUAACUGUGAAUUUUUUGGUGGGCAAGGUGAAGCAAAGGGUGGUGCUGGUCGAAGCGGACAGCAACUUUGUUGACAUACUCUUCAGCUUGUGCGAUUUUCCAUUGGGAACCAUUGUCAGACUCCUCAACAAACAAUCUUAUAGUGGAUGCCUGGACAAAUUGUAUGAGAGCAUUGAGAAUCUUAAUGUGCAAAAUUUCCAGGCUAAGGCAUGCAAGAUCAUGCUUCUCUUCCCUCAAAGCGCUGCAGCUGAUGGCUAAGCCAAUGGCUGUAUAUGUUUGUGAAAAGCGUGAUUUUCAUGCCAAGCCCACAUGCUUCGGUCGCUCUGUUCCGAAUGUGCGAUGUCCUCACUGUCGAGAAUUAACUGUGAAUUUGAUUAGAAGAUGGCCCAAAUGGGAUGUUGAUGCUGGUAAACUAUUUGUCAAGAGUGGAGAUAAGUUUAUGAUCAGCGAUGACCUGCAUGUGACUCUGGCUUCUAUGGAGCAUAGCCUGUCUUUAAUCCAGGAACUGAGAAUAGAAGAUACAUGCAUUCUCUGGCAUAAGUCUAUGGAUCUUGGUAGAGGUGAGCUUUGGCGACGUUUUGGCAUUUUUCUGAGCCAAAUAUGCAAUUUGCCCACAACUUUGCUGUGGUGAAAAGAAAGGUGUGAAACCUUUUUUUCUUCUAGCAGUUUUUGGCCUCAAGCUUCCUCUUCACUAUAUUUGAAGGUUAGUAUGUUGUGCGUACUUUACAACACAGACUCAAAUUUUCACAGUUCUAAUCCAUUGUCACAGUAAUAUGGCACAAGGGUUUACGUGUAUAUUAUAUAGUUCAGUUUAUAGUUUGUUAUCCUAAUACUAUGAAUCUCUUAGAGUUAGUAAAAGUUGUGUUUGGAUAGGAAGCGUUGAAGUAUCAUGCGCAUGUUAGAGGUACGUUUGGAUAUUGUUGUAAUAAAAAUUUGUUCGAAUAGUUGUAGCUGCAAUCAGAUCGAAUAUAGUUCCAACAAUUGGAGUGGAUCCGAAUCCUCUCCAAUUUUGAAA